rnacentral:misc_RNA from 1 species
UUUUAUUAUACUCGCUCUCUCUCUCUCUCUCAUGGCGACUGCGGCUUUCAGAGGGGUAAGUCUCUCCUUCUCUCUCUCUGUCUACUUUGUUAAGAUCUGACUGUUCUGCUUUUUUGUUGUAUAAAUAAUUUUAUCUAGUCUCUUUGUGUUUCCAUGUUGAUUCUGAUUUAUUAACUUGUAGUUUUGGGUGCAAUAUUUCUCAUUCUAAUCGGUUUCAAAGUAAUUACUUCGAGUUUCGAUUUAAUUACUUCUAUAAAAUUCUGUAUUUUGCUGGAUUGCUUUCGUAUCCCUUCCUCCCUCACCUUUUGAGUUUCUUAUUUACUAAUUUAUGUUCUGGAUUUGUAAUUUGUUGAUAUGUGGAGUCAUGAUUGAUGGGAAAAUCUGAUUUUUCCUUUUUUU